GACGAACGCUGGCGGCGUGCUUAACACAUGCAAGUCGAACGGAAAGGCCCUGCUUUUGUGGGGUGCUCGAGUGGCGAACGGGUGAGUAACACGUGAGUAACCUGCCCUUGACUUUGGGAUAACUUCAGGAAACUGGGGCUAAUACCGGAUAGGAGCUCCUGCUGCAUGGUGGGGGUUGGAAAGUUUCGGCGGUUGGGGAUGGACUCGCGGCUUAUCAGCUUGUUGGUGGGGUAGUGGCUUACCAAGGCUUUGACGGGUAGCCGGCCUGAGAGGGUGACCGGCCACAUUGGGACUGAGAGACGGCCCAGACUCCUACGGGAGGCAGCAGUGGGGAAUAUUGCACAAUGGGCGGAAGCCUGAUGCAGCAACGCCGCGUGCGGGAUGACGGCCUUCGGGUUGUAAACCGCUUUCGCCUGUGACGAAGCGUGAGUGACGGUAAUGGGUAAAGAAGCACCGGCUAACUACGUA
rnacentral:rRNA from 1 species